AUUGAACGCUGGCGGCAGGCCUAACACAUGCAAGUCGAGCGGCAGCGGGAAAGUAGCUUGCUACUUUUGCCGGCGAGCGGCGGACGGGUGAGUAAUGCCUGGGAAAUUGCCCAGUCGAGGGGGAUAACAGUUGGAAACGACUGCUAAUACCGCAUACGCCCUACGGGGGAAAGCAGGGGACCUCCGGGCCUUGCGCGAUUGGAUAUGCCCAGGUGGGAUUAGCUAGUUGGUGAGGUAAUGGCUCACCAAGGCGACGAUCCCUAGCUCGGUCGGAGAGGAUGAUCAGCCACACUGGAACUGAGACACGGUCCAGACUCAUACGGGAGGCAGCAGUGGGGAAUAUUGCACAAUGGGGGAAACCCUGAUGCAGCCAUGCCGCGUGUGUGAAGAAGGCCUUCGGGUUGUAAAGCACUUUCAGCGAGGAGGAAAGGUUGAUGCCUAAUACGUAUCAACUGUGACGUUACUCGCAGAAGAAGCACCGGCUAACUCCGUGCCAGCAGCCGCCGUAAGAC
rnacentral:rRNA from 1 species